GAUGAACGCUGGCGGCGUGCUUAACACAUGCAAGUCGAACGGUGAACGAGGGAGCUUGCUCCCUCCGGAUCAGUGGCGAACGGGUGAGUAACACGUGAGCAAUCUGCCCUGGACUCUGGGAUAAGCGUUGGAAACGACGUCUAAUACCGGAUACGAAGCGUGGGGGCAUCCCCAACGCCUGGAAAGAACUUCGGUCCAGGAUGAGCUCGCGGCCUAUCAGCUUGUUGGGGAGGUAACGGCUCACCAAGGCGACGACGGGUAGCCGGCCUGAGAGGGUGACCGGCCACACUGGGACUGAGACACGGCCCAGACUCCUACGGGAGGCAGCAGUGGGGAAUAUUGCACAAUGGGCGCAAGCCUGAUGCAACAACGCCGCGUGAGGGACGACGGCCUUCGGGUUGUAAACCUCUUUUAGCAGGGAAGAAGCGAAAGUGACGGUACCUGCAGAAAAAGCACCGGCUAACUACGUGCCAGCAGCCGCGGUAAUAC
rnacentral:rRNA from 1 species